GCCAGGCAUGGUGGUGCACGCCCGUAAUCCCAGCAACUCGGGAGGCUGAGGCAGGAGGAUCACAAGUUCAAAGCCAGCCUCAG
rnacentral:sRNA from 1 species